AAGGGUUUAGUUAAAAUUUAUAACAUUAAUUUGUCAAAUUAAAAUUAUUAGUUCUUAAUAAUUCUUU
rnacentral:tRNA from 1 species